GCACUUUUUGUAGACCUUUUCGGGUCUAUGUUGCCUCAUUUUACCCCAAUGUAUGUCAAUAGAAUGUUGUGCCUAUAUAUAAUAUAUACAACUUUCAGCAACGGAUCUCUUGGCUCUCGCAUCGAUGAAGAACGCAGCGAAAUGCGAUAAGUAAUGUGAAUUGCAGAAUUCAGUGAAUCAUCGAAUCUUUGAACGCACCUUGCGCUCCUUGGUAUUCCGAGGAGCAUGCCUGUUUGAGUGUCAUUAAUAUAAUCAACCUUUUCUUGUUUUGAGAAUGGUUUGGAUGUGGGGGUUUGCUGGCCUCUCUCAAAAGGUUCAGCUCCCCUGAAAUGCAUUAGCAGAACAACCUUUGCUCAUUGGUGUGAUAACUAUCUACGCUUAUGAAUACGGAGGGGCAGUUCAGCUUUCUAACGGUCUUUGUACAAUUCAUCAUUAAUGUGACCUCAAAUCAGGUAGGACUACCCGCUGAACUUAAGCAUAUCAAUAAGCGGAGGAAAAGAAACUAACAAGGAUUCCCCUAGUAACUGCGAGUGAAGCGGGAAAAGCUCAAAUUUAAAAUCUGGCGGUCUUUUGGCUGUCCGAGUUGUAAUCUAGAGAAGUGUUAUCCGCGCUGGACCGNGUANNAAGUCUCCNGA
rnacentral:rRNA from 1 species